GUUUAUAAAUCUUAUGUCUACACCAGCCUACGGGCCAAGGGCCAAGUACUUCAAUCUUUGCCUGAGGAGCUGUUGUUUAGUCACUAAGCCGAGUCGGACUCUUUUGCGACCCAAGGACUGUAGCCCACAAGGCUCCAUUCUCCAUGGAAUUUCCCAGAUACUAAAACCACCAUUAAAUGGAAGAAAUUAUCUACCUGAUGACCAUGAGCAUGUGGCCCCCAGACCUACUGGCACCUAAGGACUGAUAAUAUUAACUCCUGUGACUCUGCCCUUUUACUUCCCCGUCAGCCGAUUAGAGAACUGUGCACAACCUGAUCCUACCCUGGGCUGCCCCUCCCUCACUUUGUCUUUAAAAAUAUGCUUCCCUGAAGCCCAUCUAGGAAUUUGGGCUUUUUGAGCACUUGCUGUCCUGAACACCUUGCUUGGCACCCUGCAGUAAGCGCUGCACUGUCCUUCACCGCAACCUGGUGUCAGUACAUUGGCUUUACCUCUCAAGGGCAAGCAGACCCAAGUUUGGUUCCGUAACAUGUAUAGUUAAAAUUACUCAACUCCAUGUCGUUUAACUCAC
ensembl:lncRNA